AGAGGAAGUAAAAGUCGUAACAAGGUCUCCGUAGGUGAACCUGCGGAGGGAUCAUUAAAAAACGAGUUGCGAGACUCGAAAACCAUCGCGAACAUUACCUCGUCGUCGUUGCUUCGGCGGGCGGCCCCGCGAGGGGCCCGCAAGGCCCGCGAGGGCGCCCGCCGGAGGAGCGUGAACACUCUGUUUUCUUAGCGCCUCUCUGAGUGGAUACAGCGAAAUGAAUCAAAACUUUCAACAACGGAUCUCUUGGUUCUGGCAUCGAUGAAGAACGCAGCGAAAUGCGAUAAGUAAUGUGAAUUGCAGAAUUCAGUGAAUCAUCGAAUCUUUGAACGCACAUUGCGCCCGCUAGUAUUCUGGCGGGCAUGCCUGUUCGAGCGUCAUUUCAACCCCUCAAGCCCUGCUUGGUGCUGGGGCCCUACGUGCGCCGUAGGCCCCGAAUUACAGUGGCGGGCUCGCCGCGAUCCCGAGCGUAGUAACACACCUCGCUCUGGGGCUCCGCGGCGGGCGCCGGCCGUGAAAA
rnacentral:rRNA from 1 species